rnacentral:rRNA from 1 species
UACGGAGGGUGCAAGCGUUAUCCGGAUUCACUGGGUUUAAAGGGUGCGUAGGAGGGCAGGUAAGUCAGUGGUGAAAUCUUCGAGCUUAACUCGGAAACUGCCGUUGAUACUAUCUGUCUUGAAUAUUGUGGAGGUGAGCGGAAUAUGUCAUGUAGCGGUGAAAAUGCUUAGAUAUGACAUAGAACACCAAUUGCGAAGGCAGCUCGCUACACAUAUAUUGACUCUGAGGCACGAAAGCGUGGGGAUCAAACAGG